rnacentral:rRNA from 1 species
UACGUAGGGUGCAAGCGUUAAUCGGAAUUACUGGGCGUAAAGCGUGCGCAGGCGGUUUUGUAAGUCUGACGUGAAAUCCCCGGGCUCAACCUGGGAAUUGCGUUGGAGACUGCAAGGCUAGAAUCUGGCAGAGGGGGGUAGAAUUCCCCGUGUAGCAGUGAAAUGCGUAGAGAUGUGGAGGAACACCGAUGGCGAAGGCAGCCCCCUGGGUCAAGAUUGACGCUCAUGCACGAAAGCGUGGGGAGCAAACAGG